rnacentral:rRNA from 1 species
UACAGAGGGGGCAAGCGUUAUUCGGAAUUAUUGGGCGUAAAGGGCGCGUAGGCGGCCUGACAAGUGGAAGGUGAAAUCCCUCGGCUUAACCGAGGAACUGCCUUCCAAACUGUUUGGCUUGAGUCCGGGAGAGGCGAGUGGAAUUCCCAGUGUAGCGGUGAAAUGCGUAGAUAUUGGGAGGAACACCAGUGGCGAAGGCGGCUCGCUGGACCGGAACUGACGCUGAGGCGCGAAAGCGUGGGGAGCAAACAGGG